rnacentral:sRNA from 1 species
GAACUCCCCUCUCUCACCUGGUGAGCGAGUGCGUACACUCUCCAUGGAACCAUACAGGGAAUUUUUAAGACGAGAAAGUCGAGAAAAGUCAUUAGGCCCAUUUAGGUUCUGUGAAAUUCGUCGUACAAAGGUUUGGGUCUUACGUGAUGACGUUUUGAUUGCCCCGACGGAGUCCACUAGCUCUUCCAAUAUGCCGUACAUCUCUGAGGAAUCUUGGGCUAGACUCUGAAAUCUGGUGUCCAGGGUUUCCAACAUCUGAAACACUGUGUUGAAUCGCUCCUGAAUAAGCUGCUCCAAAUAUUUCAUCUCUUUAUUCAUGUCGUUUGAUGCCAUUGCCCAUGUAAGAAGACCUCAACAUCAAAUGUCUAAAUCGAAAGUACAACAUUAAUUGAAAACAAUCGGAGGCAAAACAAAAGUAGUUAUAGCUAGGUAGCGAUAAACCAAAUCGACUUUCGUUCCAUAUUUCGGAGGUAUUGUUGAUAAGAAAAUACAAAAUGUGAAUCAAUGAUCCUUCACCGGUGUAGAAAAUGUUUAAGUUUGAAGGCAGUGAACAGAAACAAACAUUCAAUUUGGGAAAAUCCCAACUUAAAAUUAGAACAUACUUGUUAAAAGAGAAAGAAAAGAAACCAGGUUCAAUAGAAAUUGAAACAUAUCUUUUUUACAAUUAAAAAACCAUAAC